rnacentral:rRNA from 1 species
GGUAGGGAUACCCGCUGAACUUAAGCAUAUCAAUA